ACGGAAGGCAGCAGUGGGGAAUAUUGCACAAUGGGGGAAACCCUGAUGCAGUGGCGCCGCGUAUAGGAAGAAGGUCUUUGGAUUGUAAACUAUUGUCGACAGGGAAGAAAAAAAUGACAGUACCUGUGGAGGAAGCCCCGGCAAACUACGUGCCAGCAGCCGCGGUAAUACGUAGGGGGCGAGCGUUAUCCGGAUUUAUUGGGUGUAAAGGGUGCGUAGACGGUUUAGCAAGUUAGUUGUGAAAUCCCUGAGCUCAACUCAGGAACUGCAACUAAAACUGUUGAACUUGAGUGCGGGAGAGGAAAGCGGAAUUCCUAGUGUAGCGGUGAAAUGCGUAGAUAUUAGGAGGAACACCAGUGGCGAAGGCGGCUUUCUGGACCGUAACUGACGCUGAGGCACGAAAGUGUGGGGAGCAAACAGGAUUAGAUACCCUGGUA
rnacentral:rRNA from 1 species